rnacentral:lncRNA from 1 species
ACAUAGCCUGUCUGCGGUUGUAGGGGUCGCUCCCCACAGGCUGUGCACUCUGGAGUAUUUGUCACUUGAGGGGCAGUCGCCAUGCGCUGCCCGGACAGUCAGUGAAUCUGUCCGCAGGCGGUCUCGGGGAAUAGUUCAGCGAGGCUUUUCCCUAUGAGACUUAUAAACGUGAGAUUGUGUUACCGGAUUGAUCGGAUGAUUGGGCAAGAUAAUGAAUAACCACCCUUAUUGUUGAGCAUAGUAGUAUGGUAGCUACGAAUUCCUUAUGAAUUAC